UGGCUCAGCAAUAAAAUUCUGGCUCAGUAAUAGAGCAUCUGCUUUACAUGCAGAAGGUUCCAGGUUCAAUUCCUUGCAUGCCAA